rnacentral:tRNA from 1 species
ACCUGGGUGGCUCAGUCAGUUGAGCACCUGACUUCAGCUCAGGUCAUGAUCUUGCAGUUUGUGAGUUCAAGCCCCAUGUCAGGCU